GGGGUUGUAGCUCAGUGGCAGAGCACUUGCCUACUAGCAUGUAUGAGGCACUAGGUUCGAUCCUUAGCAGCACUA
rfam:Ictidomys tridecemlineatus contig044689, whole genome shotgun sequence.